CCCCGAUUACGAUAUCGGAUACUGGGCGUAAGCGUGCGUAGGCGGUUCCGAAGAAGAUGUGAAAUCCCCCGGCUCACCUUGGACUGCAUUUUUAACUGCCGAGACUUAGUAGGUCAAAAGGGGGUGAAUUCCACGUGUAGCAGUGAAAUGCGUAGAUAUGUGGAGGAAUACCGAUGGCGAAGGCAGCCCCCUGGGAUAAUACUGACGCUCAGACACGAAAGCGUGGGGAGCAAACAGGAUUAGAUACCCCCCGUAGUCCA
rnacentral:rRNA from 1 species